GGAGAAGAGAGAUGGGAAGCCAAAUGGCAGACAUCUAGGAGGGCCUUCAGUGUCUGUGGGAAUGGGACCUGACAGUUCUUUACGGGGCCCCAGUUUUGGGAGAUGGUGGCAUAUAACCUUUCCUUCUCAUAGGGGAAAAGUCCACUAACUACAGUUAGAUACAGCAGUACUACAACCACUAGGAGAACCACAAUUACAACUACCACCACAACUCCAUCUACUACGCCUACCACGACAACCACCGAAACCACCACAAAGGAACCAAAGCCAAGCAUCGAUAAAUUCAUUUUUGCCCCUGUCCUCCUGGCCCUGCUGCUGCUGCUGUUGCUGAUCGGUUGUUUCUGGCAGCUGUGCUGUGUUCCGCCUGUAGAGGAGCUGCCCCCACCUAAGCCCCAACCACAGGUAAGUCAUGCUUCGAAUGCUGACACUGUCACAU
rnacentral:lncRNA from 1 species